rnacentral:rRNA from 1 species
CCUACGGGUGGCAGCAGUAGGGAAUCUUUCACAAUGGGCGAAAGCCUGAUGGAGCAACGCCGCGUGCAGGAUGAAGUCCUUCGGGUUGUAAACUUCUUUUAUAAGCGAGAAAUAUGAUGGUAACUUAUGAAUAAGGCUCGGCUAACUACGUGCCAGCAGCCGCGGUCAUACGUAGGAGCCGAGCAUUAUCCGGAGUGACUGGGUGUAAAGAGUUGCGUAGGUGGCCUAAUAAGUAGCUAGUGAAAUCUGGUGGCUUAAACAUCGAGACUAUUAGCUAAACUGUUAAGCUCGAGACUGUGAGGGGCAAGUGGAAUUUCUAGUGUAGGAGUGAAAUCCGUAGAUAUUAGAAGGAACACCAAUAGCGUAGGCAGGUUGCUGGGACGGUUCUGACACUAAGGCACGAAAGCGUAGGGAGCAAACGGGAUUAGAUACCCUAGUAGUC